rnacentral:rRNA from 1 species
UACAGAGGGUGCAAGCGUUAAUCGGGAUUACUGGGCGUAAAGCGUGUGUAGGUGGUUAGAUAAGUUAGAUGUGAAAUCCCUGGGCUUAACCUGGGCACUGCGUUUAAGACUGUUUAACUAGAGUGCUGUAGAGGGUAGUGGAAUUUCCAGUGUAGCGGUGAAAUGCGUAGAUAUUGGAAGGAACACCAGUGGCGAAGGCGACUACCUGGACAGACACUGACACUGAGACACGAAAGCGUGGGGAGCAAACAGG